rnacentral:rRNA from 1 species
GUCGAUGGACAACGGGUUGAUAUUCCCGUACCGGCGAAAAACCGUCAAACGCUGAUCCAUGAGUGCUAAGUAUGUGAAGUUGGGUUUGAUCCUUCGGGUGAUUUCCUUUCGGAGUGUACGAACCCGAAUUGGUGAGGUGAGCGUAUUAACAGGUGUGACGCAGGAAGGUAGUUGAUCCCGGGCGAUGGUUGUCCCGGGCUAAGCAUGUAGCCCGAACCGUAGGCAAAUCCGCGGUUCAUUUAAGGGUGAGAUGUGAUGGGGACCCGUAAGGGGAAGUCAGUGAUCCUAUGCUGCCAAGAAAAGCAUCGACGCGAGGUUUUAGCCGCCCGUACCCCAAACCGACACAGGUGGUCAGGUAGAGAAUACUAAGGAGAUCGAGAGAAUCAUGGUGAAGGAACUCGGCAAAAUGCCCCCGUAACUUCGGGAGAAGGGGGGCCAUCCACUUAUACGGAUUUACUCCGGAAAGGGUGUGGUGGCCGCAGAGACCAGUGGGAAGCGACUGUUUACUAAAAACACAGGUCCGUGCGAACAAGCAAUUGGAUGUAUACGGACUGACGCCUGCCCGGUGCUGGAAGGUUAAGAGGAGAGGUCAACCCUUCGGGGUGAAGCUUUGAAUUUAAGCCCCAGUAAACGGCGGUGGUAACUAUAACCAUCCUAAGGUAGCGAAAUUCCUUGUCGGGUAAGUUCCGACCUGCACGAAUGGCGUAACGACUUCCCAGCUGUCUCCACCAUGAACUCGGCGAAAUUGCACUACGAGUAAAGAUGCUCGUUACGCGCAGAAGGACGGAAAGACCCCGUGACCUUUACUACAGCUUGGUAUUGGUGUUCGGUGUGGCUUGUGUAGGAUAGGUGGGAGACUGUGAAGCAGGGACGCUAGUUCUUGUGGAGUCAUUGUUGAAAUACCACUCUGGUCAUAUUGGAUAUCUAACUACGGACCCUGAUCGGGUUCUGGGACAGUGCCUGGUGGGUAGUUUAACUGGGGCGGUUGCCUCCUAAAGAGUAACGGAGGCGCCCAAAGGUUCCCUCAACCUGGUUGGCAAUCAGGUGGCGAGUGUAAGUGCACAAGGGAGCUUGACUGUGAGACUGACAGGUCGAGCAGGGACGAAAGUCGGGACUAGUGAUCCGGCAGUGGCUUGUGGAAGCGCUGUCGCUCAACGGAUAAAAGGUACCUCGGGGAUAACAGGUUGAUCUUGCCCAAGAGUCCAUAUCGACGGCAUGGUUUGGCACCUCGAUGUCGGCUCGUCGCAUCCUGGGGCUGGAGUAGGUCCCAAGGGUUGGGCUGUUCGCCCAUUAAAGCGGUACGCGAGCUGGGUUUAGAACGUCGUGAGACAGUUCGGUCCCUAUCCUCUGCGCGCGUUGGAAAUUUGAGAGGAUCUGACCCUAGUACGAGAGGACCGGGUUGGACGGACCUCUGGUGUGCCAGUUGUUCUGCCAAGGGCAUGGCUGGUUGGCUACGUUCGGGAUGGAUAACCGCUGAAAGCAUCUAAGCGGGAAGCCGGCCUCGAGAUGAGAUUUCCGUCACCCUUGUGGUGGUGAGGCUCCCAGGAGAUUACUGGGUUGAUAGGCCAGAUGUGGAAGCACUGUAAGGUGUGGAGCUGACUGGUACUAAUAAGCCGAUGGCUC